CUCACUCAUUCCAAGGGGGGAAGGCAACAUACUAUGUUCAUAUAAGGUUAACUGGAUGUAAUCUCAGAGGGAAGGGUCUGGAAUUAGGGUUAUGGGGUGAGAAGACUAGGAAAGAUUUCUUUGGAUGGAGAAUUCAAGCUGAGUCUUCAAAUGAUAGUCUUCAAGCUAGUCAAUGGGGUUAUGUAGUAGCUGCAAAAACCCUGAGUUUCCCUCUUGGAAAUCUUGGAGGUAUAAGAAAGGAGAGAGAACAUUCCAAGAAUGUGGAACACCCAAUGAAGAUACACAACUUUGGAAGAUGGAUUAUUGUGGGUGAGAAACAACAAGGAGGUUCAAAAAUCAUUUGAUGUUGAUAAUGAAAGGAAGGAAGGAAGGAAGGAAGAAAAGAAAAGGAAGCAAAGAAAAUGCCCAUCAAUUUGGAAAUGGCUAUGCAAAUUGUGGUACAUGAAUGUAAAGAAAUGGAAUGAGAGCCAGGAGGAGACUGAUAUGAAGUGAUGCAGUGAAGAUAUCCAGGUGAACCUGCUGUGGAAAGGAGAGAAUUAUGUGUGGGUCUCCAAAGGCAUAUCUGGAAUUGGAGAUACAUAACAAGUUGCGGAGCUGCAUCAAUUUAAAGUUUUCCCUCUCACUCCUGAAAUUUGAACUAUACUUCCAGGACCUUUCCUCAUCCUUCUCCCAACAUUCCAUUGCAACAAUUGCUUCUGAAUGGGGCAAUAUGAAGGAGAGAGAGCAUCCUUUUCUCAUCCUGGAGUGGAACACAGAUUAGGGAAACUUAAAUGUAUAUUUCAAGACAAAAAAUAAAUUGAACCAACAACAGAUGAAACA
rnacentral:lncRNA from 1 species